rnacentral:rRNA from 1 species
CUGAAAGCAUCUAAGCACGAAACUUGCCCCGAGAUGAGUUCUCCCUGAGACUAUAAGUCUCCUGAAGGAACGUUAAAGACGAUGACGUUGAUAGGCCGGGUGUGUAAGCGCAGCGAUGCGUUGAGCUAACCGGUACUAAUGAACCGUGAGGCUUAACCUUACAACGCCGAAG